rnacentral:rRNA from 1 species
AACGAACGCUGGCGGCAUGCCUAACACAUGCAAGUCGAACGAGACCUUCGGGUCUAGUGGCGCACGGGUGCGUAACGCGUGGGAAUCUGCCCUUGGGUUCGGAAUAACGUUUGGAAACGAACGCUAAUACCAGAUGAGCCCUACGGGGGAAAGAUUUAUCGCCAAAGGAGCAGCCCGCGUCUGAUUAGCUAGUUGGUGGGGUAAAGGCCUACCAAGGCGACGAUCAGUAGCUGGUCUGAGAGGAUGAUCAGCCACACUGGGACUGAGACACGGCCCAGACUCCUACGGGAGGCAGCAGUGGGGAAUAUUGGACAAUGGGCGCAAGCCUGAUCCAGCCAUGCCGCGUGAGUGAUGAAGGCCUUCAGGUUGUAAAGCUCUUUCGCACACGACGAUGAUGACGGUAGUGUGAGAAGAAGCCCCGGCUAACUUCGUGCCAGCCGCCGCCGUAAAAC